GAUUCUUCACACUACGUUUCACACACAUCGCUAAACUGGUGACCCCGACCAUGAACAUCAACGCAGCCUUCGCAAGCUACGUCAUCAUGACGUCAUCAUCACUUGACCCCGAGCAUGAACAUCAGCGCAACCUUCA